rfam:Aedes aegypti strain Liverpool supercont1.138 genomic scaffold, whole genome shotgun sequence.
UGUUCUGUAGCUUAGUUGGUUAAUGCGCCGGUUUAGCGUACACGGAGUUGUGAGUUCGAGUCUCACUAGAACGC